rnacentral:rRNA from 1 species
GACGAACGCUGGCGGCGUGCCUAAUACAUGCAAGUUGAGCGCUGAAGGUUGGUACUUGUACCAACUGGAUGAGCAGCGAACGGGUGAGUAACGCGUGGGGAAUCUGCCUUUGAGCGGGGGACAACAUUUGGAAACGAAUGCUAAUACCGCAUAAAAACUUUAAACACAAGUUUUAAGUUUGAAAGAUGCAAUUGCAUCACUCAAAGAUGAUCCCGCGUUGUAUUAGCUAGUUGGUGAGGUAAAGGCUCACCAAGGCGAUGAUACAUAGCCGACCUGAGAGGGUGAUCGGCCACAUUGGGACUGAGACACGGCCCAAACUCCUACGGGAGGCAGCAGUAGGGAAUCUUCGGCAAGGGACGAAAGUCUGACCGAGCAACGCCGCGUGAGUGAAGAAGGUUUUCGGAUCGUAAAACUCUGUUGGCAGAGAAGAACGUUGGUGAGAGUGGAAAGCUCAUCAAGUGACGGUAACUACCCAGAAAGGGACGGCUAACUACGUG